rnacentral:miRNA from 1 species
GGACUCACCAUGUAGUUCAGGCUGGCCUUGAGCUCACUCUGUAGCCCAGGCUGGUCUUGAAAUCACAACAAUUCACCUGCCUCAGCCUCCUGACUGCUGGGAUUACAGGCAUAUGGCACCAUGCCC